AGACGGAAAGGACCAAAGAUGGAAAACAGUUAGGGAAACUGCAAGUCGAUGGCACAGAGCGUGCUGGUGAAGAAGUCCAGCUCUUCCUCGGAAAAGGGCACGGGGCUAUCGAGAGAACCCUGCAGGCUGGGUGAAAGGCCUCCGGACAUCUGGAGACAGGAGUCUGCAGCGAAGAAAUUGAGGUCCGGUAGAAAAGGCGAAUCCUGCCGCUCGGGGCAGGCGUCUUCGGGUAGGGGCUCGCUCUGCCGGCCUCCGGCUCUGAGCAUUGUGCAGCCGGGGCUCGAUGCGCCCACACUCUCCAGGGUGGUGGCAGGCAGCGCUGACGGCGGUGCGCCCCGGGGUCCCUGCGCGGCCUCGGCGGGGUGGAAGCAGGCUUCCCGCAGCCGGUGAGUCGCGACGUCGCCCGGGCUGACCGUGGGUUCCUCGGCUGGCUCUCCCGCGUCGUCCUGGGCGCUCGGCCCGCCUGGUUCUCCCUCGGGCGGCUCUCGAUGCUGCGUCUGCCGCUUGUGUUUCAUGCGUCGGUUCUGGAACCAGACUUUGACCUGCCUUUCGGUGAGGUCCAGCAAGGCAGCGAUCUCGACGCGACGCGGCCGGCACAGGUACUUAUUGAAGUGGAACUCCUUCUCCAGCUCCAGCAGUUGCGUGUUGGUGUAGGCCGUGCGCAGUCUGCGGGAGCCGCUGCCGCCGCAUUCUGGCAAUCCGGGGCCAUCUGCGAGGGAAGCACCCCUAUGUUAUCAGAGAGGUCUCAACGCAGCCUCCGUUUAGCUGAGAUCGGGAGCACCCCUUUGGCUUAAAAGACUCUCAGCAGUCCUACUCGGGCUCCCACCCCACCCCCACAGCGCUUCUUUCUGUGUCUUUGGGGUUUUUUUUAGUGCUCUUCCACGUAGGCAGACCCGGCCCGGGUCAAGUCGGUGCCUUCAGAGCCGCCCACGGGCCACGUAGGGGGCGGGGAGCAAUUUCUCUUAGCUCCCAGGACCUCAGAGUCUCCCUCCCCCAAGUCCUCCCAAUGGACCCCUCAAUUCAGAACUUUCCAACUCAACCUGGGGAGAGAGGGAUCAUAGAUUGUUCUUCACCCCUUUCCUUCCUAGCUUUUGAAUUCCCUCUUCUUCCCUAGCUUUAGGAGAGCUAGAGGCAUCGCAUCUUUUCCAGGCUCCAGAUUCAAUCCCAGACACGCUUCAUUCCUCUACACAGAAACCGGGGAAACCCUUCAAUCGAAUCAUUUUUUUCUAAGCACAUUUAAAAAAAAAAAAAAAAAAAAAGCAUCCUCCCCACCCUCAAUCAGCUUCCAAAAUUUUCUGGGGGUGGGGAAGCUAACAGUGGCUAGGCCUGAACCCCAGCGGGAUACUCUGCUUCCCUCGCCCCAGAUCCGUCGACCUAGGGAACCCCACCAGGAGCCCCAUCACCUCACAUUCUCCCCUUCUCUUCCAACUGCCCCUCACCCCGCCCCUAAUACGUUUACCCACCUGAUGGUGAUCCGACCUCGGAGGCCCGGACCGAGGAGGCGGCUGGAGAAGGGGAUGCGGCGGAUUGGCUGGGUUUCUUGGUGGAUUUCUUCUCUUUCAUCCAGGGGAACUCGGGGGCUGGGGGGGCAACGGGGAGUGGCGGCGGUGACCGCAGAGCAGGCCCAUCUCCGGCUUGCUUUUGGCUCCCUGGUCUCUGAAGGGUGGAGGCGCCGAGCUGGAGGCUGGGGAAGGUUUGCUCCAGAGGAGGAGGAGGAGGAAUUAAUGUCGACUCCUUGAUUGAUGAAGUUUGAAAUGUCUCCAAGACAGCGGGGAAGGAAGUCAGACACUCGGCGAGCGAUGGCUGGCUGUUUAUAAACCCAAUCUCCCUCUCAAAUUCAAAAUUCAUGGCUUUCAAUGGUGGGGGAGGGGGCCUGCUGGGGGGGGCGUCAGGAGGGAGAAUCAGAGGGACCCCCCUCUCCCGCCCCCCCCAGGUUUAUGCAAUGGAGCAAUUUCGCGGGGGGGGGGAGAUUUCGCUCUCUCUCUUUUUUUUUUAAAUUUAGGCCUUUAUAAUUGUAUAUUGCUGAUAAAUACAAGCGUAUGGGGACUCUCUCUAUUAAACCCAGGACUCCGCCGAAAUUGCAGGGAAUUCAUGGUCACGGGACCGGUCUCCGCCAAUCGCUAGUCUAGGCCUAGUGGAAAACACAGGCAUUAUUUGCUUUAAUUGAUUCAAAAACUCCAGAGGACCACGACCUGGAUACCAUGAGGCUUCCUCCUCUACCCCUGUUCCUUCAUCAGUACCCUACACUCUCCCUAAUGGCUCUCUUUUCCCAGAAAAGCCAAAAGAACCUCUUCCUUCCCUUCAGAGACUGUGUGGUGGUGGCAAACAACCACAUUUAAGGGAGAAAUGGAGUGAGUUAAUAUGCUUUCUUUAUGUGGCCCUCAGUAGCCUCUUACCCUACCACCACCUCAGCCCCCAAAAGAAAAGAAAAAAAAAUCUCAUUUAGGGGGAAGUGGGAGUAGAAAGAGGCUUCCAUACCUUGGGGGAAAUCAGAAAGGAGAUGGAUAAAGGACAGCACUAAACACCAGCAGCAGCGGCAGCCCACCCACCCUCAGAAAGCAGUAGUUCACACUUAAGAAAUGCACAGAGCUGGCACGCAGCAGGGACAUAGAUUCCAGGAGCACUUUGGGACAUGGGCCUACCUCCCUUGCUAUGUGCCCUGGAUUCUAGUCUCUGCUCAGAAUUUACAAGCAGUUUCUUAUGUCCACUUGCCUUCCUGUUGGGGUCAUCUGUACUCACACUGUGACACCCCAACCCUGGCAAUAGGAGGGUCUAAGAAGGUCUAAGGUGACAGAUGUAUUCACAGGCCCCCAGGUGUAUCUGUGUCUCUAUCCAGGGCACCAAAGUAGCCAUCCACUUAACUUUCAAAGCUAAAGUCAGUGCACAGUCGCCCUCUGGACAAAGGGAUUUCCCCCUCUGUAUUUGCCUUUGGGCUACUUUUAAAAUCCCUGGUAAGAAAACAUUUCCUAAAGAUGGUGGGGGAGAGGGGGCUGGGGAUAAUGACCACCACUGAGAUUAUAUUCUGCUUUGGGCCUCCAGAGAGAAAAAAAAAUGUAAUGUAUUCUAUGGUGAGGCACCUAUGAUGGGCUCAAUUUUAGAAUAUUGUGAUUUACUAGAGGAAGGAGGCAAAAAAC
rnacentral:lncRNA from 1 species